GAAAAUUCAAAACCAAGGGAAAUUACUGCCGUCAGGGUUGCGGCUUCAGCCAGAGCUUGCCUCCCAGUCUCACACUCAUGCUCUCCUGUGGAAUCAGGCUCUGCGAUUCUUUUGCCCGGAGCAGAAAGGACCUGCGACACGGCCUGGGGAGACGGCUCCACCGUCUGAGAUGACUGUUGCAGGAUGCUACGAAGCCACGCCGGGUGAGAACCCACCCAAAGCGUGUGAUCGCCUCACGUCACAGCCUGGCUGAGCGCAGAGCGCAUGCACCAUGGUCUCCGGUUCCACAGCAGCUCACCUUGAGGAAACCGUCACUUACCACGUGUUGCAUAACCCCAAGAAAGACGACGCGUAAUGAUCCAAAAAGGCUGGUAAAUAAUCCUCUGUCCCAACUCAAUGUCUGUGUGUGGCCAGGUUUUCUUCUCAAUUUCAACCAGAGCAACAGUAUCACAGCAGUUCAAAUCAGAGAACCCAGUGAAAGGGGUUUGCAAAAUGUAAGAUAAUGCCAUUCUUUUUACUAAAAAUAUUACUAAAAUUUUAUCCUAUAUGUUAACACUUAAUGGGUUUAUUAUUGCUGUUUUUAAAUGGAUCAGAAAAGGAUGAAAUGGUUGCUUUGCAGCAAUGUGGAUGGAAGUGGUGCCCAUUCUCUUAAGUGGAACAGAAAGACAAACGCUGCAUGUUCUUACUCAUAAGUGGAGCUGAAUCACGUGUGGACACGGAGUGUGGAAUGACAGGCCGUAGAGUCCGGGAGGGAGUGGGGGGUUGGGGAGAAAGUACUUAACGGGUACAGCACACCUUAUUGGGGUUCCCUAAAAGCCGUGGCUUCACCACUGUGCAAUGUAUGCCUGUAACAAAAUUACACUUGUGCCCCAUAAAUUUACAUAAAUCUAAAAUGUAUAAGUAAAUUUUGAAAUGUAAACAUAAAUGAAGC
rnacentral:lncRNA from 10 species